GAGAGAGAGAAAGAGAGUACAAACCCUUCUCUUUUUCUCUUUGCUUUUCGUUCUCGAUUCCUAUCUCAAUCUCCUUCUGCGUCUUUGUGGUCUUCUUCGAACCGUCCUCAUCCUCUCGAUCCGUGCGACCUCAGCUCCUUUUCUAGGGUUUUCAUUUUCCACGCCAUCUUCGCUUUCCUCCAGGGCGUGCUCGACCUUAGAGAGAGGGAGAUCGGGGGGCGACGCCAGCGGCCAAUCCGCAGCAAGGAUUGCGGGAGAAGAAGGCCAGUCGCUACCGGCAGGUGUUGGCGUCAAGAAGUUUUCUAGUUGAGUCCGAAUUGAAGGGAUUCGCGAGGGUUUUUGUCGCCGAUUCGCUGGUGAAUCUCGUUGAGUUUGGCUUCCUGUGAGUGCCGUCUGGGAGUGGUUCGUUCGUUCACCCGAGUGAGGGCUGCUUCAUUGAGAAGUCCUUUGUUGCUGAAUGCUACCAUUUAGGAUUAAGGCUUUUACUUGAAGCAAGCCAAGUUUCUUUUGGUGACUUUUAAAGUUAUCUGUUAUGACUGCUAGUAGUUGGUAAACCUGGAAUAAUUUAGUGAUAUCAUUCGAAAUGCCUACAAUGUGGGGAAAAUCUUCAUCUAAGGAUGCAAAGAAGAAAACAGUGAAGGAAAAUUUCAUUGACACAUUGCAUCGAUUCAUAAGUUCAACUGAACAGAAAGGCAGUUCAAAAUCAAGGAGGAUUCAGAGACGUAGCAGUGACAUAACUACAGAAAAGGGCUACACAUCAAGAGCAGAAUCACGAUCUACGUCACCCUCCAAGCAUGUGUCUCGCUGUCAAAGUUUUGCAGGUAGACCAAAUGCCCAGCCACUUCCUCUUCCUGAGAUGCCUUCAUGCAUUACACGCACACCCUCUGAAGUCAGUAUAUCAAAGCCAAUUUUGGAAAAGCGUGGCAAACCACAGCUGCAUUUACCCCUUCCAAAGCCUCAUCGCAUUAUGAAAGGACCAGAUGCUGCUAAUCUUGAUGGUGAUUUGGCUACUGCAUCUGUUUCCAGCAAUUGCUCUAUUGAUAGUGAUGACCCAGGCGAUUCUCAACUUCACAGCCCUGUGGGCAAUGAUUUUGAGAAUAAUAACAGAACUGUUAUAGAUCAUCAUUACAGUGCGGUGCAUAAGGAUCGUAUCUCUGCUACCCAGAGGAGCCCAAAGGAGAUGUCAAAGCCGACGACUUUGUUUUUGGGAAACCAAAUUACGUCUGCAUCACCAAAAUGGGGUGUUCCAAAUAGUUACCGAUCUAAUAUACAAAUUCCUCGGAAUGGUGCUUUGGGAAGUGCCCCAGAUAGUUCUAUGUCAAGUCCUUCUAGAAGUCCAAUGAGAGUUUUAUGCCCUGAGCAGGUGCCGACUUCAGCUUUUUGGGCAACAAAGCCUCAUACAGAUGUAACUUUUGUUGGAUCUGGCCAGUGCUCCAGUCCAGGUUCAGGACAGACUUCUGGACAUAAUUCAAUGGGUGGAGAUAUGCUGGGACAGUUUUGGCAGCAUAGUAGGGGCAGCCCAGAAUGUUCUCCUAUACCUAGCCCAAGAAUGACAAGUCCUGGUCCUAGUUCUAGGAUACAUAGUGGAACUGUCUCUCCAUUGCAUCCACGGGCAGGAGGCACAGCACCAGAAUCACCUACAAGUCAUAGAUUGCCUCUACCACCAAUAAAUGUUUCUCGCAGCUCUCCCUUUCUUCCAAACAAUUCAACAACAGCUACUUCUCCCAUAUCUCGUAGCCCUGGAAGGACAGAUAAUCCAACAAGCCCUGGAUCACGGUGGAAGAAAGGAAAAUUAAUUGGUCGUGGCACAUUUGGACAUGUUUAUGUUGGUUUUAAUAGUGAGAGUGGUGAAAUGUGUGCAAUGAAGGAGGUAACCCUGUUCAUGGAUGACGCAAAGUCAAAAGAAAGUGUGAAACACUUGGGACAAGAAAUAUUUCUUUUGAGUCGAUUGCGGCAUCCAAAUAUAGUGCAGUAUUAUGGCUGCGAGAUGAUUGAAGACAAACUUUAUAUUUACCUGGAGUAUGUAUCUGGUGGUUCCAUACAUAAACUUCUUCAGGAGUAUGGUCAGUUUGGUGAGCCAGCAAUUCGGAGUUAUACACAGCAAAUUCUCUCAGGACUAGCAUAUUUGCAUGCUAAGAAUACAGUCCAUAGGGACAUUAAAGGUGCAAAUAUAUUGGUAGAUCCAAAUGGCCGUGUUAAGCUGGCAGAUUUUGGGAUGGCAAAACAUAUUACUGGACAAUCAUGUCCGCUAUCAUUCAAGGGAAGUCCUUACUGGAUGGCUCCUGAGGUCAUCAAGAAUUUGAAUGGAUGUAAUCUUGCUGUCGAUAUUUGGAGCCUAGGGUGUACUGUUUUGGAAAUGGCUACAUCAAAACCACCUUGGAGCCAGUAUGAAGGGAUUGCAGCAAUGUUCAAAAUUGGAAACAGUAAGGAGCUUCCAACAAUCCCUGAUCACCUAUCUGAUGAUGGCAAGGAUUUCAUAAGGCGUUGUCUUCAGCGUGAGCCAUCCAAACGUCCUACUGCAGCUGAGCUUUUACAACACCCAUUUGUGAAAAAUGCAGCUUCUCUGGAGAAAUCUGUUAUUAAUUCUGAACCUUUAGAUUUGUCAAGUGGUGUUUUAGGUGGAGCAAAUACUAAGUUAUUAUUAAAAUUCCAGACUGUUGGCCAUGCAAGAAAUUUGUCUUCUCUGGACAUGGAAGGAACGUCAAUACAUCGUAUAAGAGCUGGAAUAUCUACCAUAGCAAUGAGCGAUGCCCGUGCAAGGUACAUAUCUUGUCCAGUCUCUCCAAUUGGAAGCCCUCUAUUGAGUUCCAGAUCUCCACAGCAUAUCAACGGAAGGAUGUCCCCUUCUCCAAUUUCAAGUCCUAGAACUGCCUCAGGUGCAUCCACACCUCUGACAGGUGGCUAUGGUGCCAUUCCAUUUGGUCAAUCAAAACAGGGAGCUCGUGAUCAUGAUGGAUCCACUUGCUUAUCAAAAUGUACAAAUGAUAUCUGUGCUAGUGGGAUCAUCUACCAUGAAUCAAAACUCAAUUAUUUACCUGGAACACAGCAAGGCUCACCAAAAAUUUGGGAAAGAAUGGCAUCUGAAGCUGACAUUCUCAGCUCACAGUUUGGCAGGUUCAGACACGGUAAUCUUUGGGAUCCUUAUGAGAAGCAACCUAUGCUGUCUGAUAUGCCUCUUCAGGUCUUGAGAGAUCAAAUUAAGUUUGGGCCAACACAAAAUCUUAGUUCUGGUCCUUCAAUUCCUAACCAUGCGAAUGCUAGUUGACUUACAGGAUUAGUCAGCCAGAUUAUGUUUGUUUUUUGGUUGGUUCUGGCAUGGUUAUAUCAUCCCCAACGACAUAAAAAAAAACUAAUUUUAUAUGGUAAAUAAUGGAAGUUGCAACUGUACAAUCAUUCUUUGUUCAUUGGAGAUAUAAGAAGUGGAUGCAAGUUUCUCAUGUGCAAGGUCCAUCGAGUUUUAUGCUGUUGAAUUGCAGAUUCAGGUGAAUGACUUUGACAGUCAUCUAAAUCUUGCAGCUUCCUUGUCAUGAAGAGUUGAGAUGGUUGAUGGUUGAUGGUUGAAGGAUGAAACCAUAUAUUAGCACCUUAAUAUGUUAGAAGAGCCAGAGACAAUCUGGAAAAUUGCUCCAUCUGUACUUCUGUAGACUCUUUGCGAGGCCAUCCGGUACAGAUGAUAUGGAAAUUGAUUCCGUGUUUGCAUUUUGUGCCACGACGAUCGUCAAAUGAUCCUCUGCCAUUCUGUUUGUAUUUUGCUCCAACGUUGUAAAUCAUCGACCCUAAUCUACUGUUACUCUUUCAAAUUGGAUGUGCAAUGUCGGUGAGGCACUUUGAGCCUUGUCAAUGCUGUAUGUAUACUUGUUAGUAAAUUAAGAGAGAAAAAAAAGCAUCUUCUAAUU